rnacentral:rRNA from 1 species
AGCGAACGCUGGCGGCAGGCCUAAUACAUGCAAGUCGAACGCCCCUUCGGGGGAGUGGCGGACGGGUGAGUAACGCGUGGGAAUAUGCCCUAUGGUGCGGAACAACUGAGGGAAACUUCAGCUAAUACCGCAUGUGCCCUACGGGGGAAAGAUUUAUCGCCAUAGGAGUAGCCCGCGUUGGAUUAGCUAGUUGGUGGGGUAAUGGCUCACCAAGGCUACGAUCCAUAGCUGGUCUGAGAGGAUGAUCAGCCACACUGGGACUGAGACACGGCCCAGACUCCUACGGGAGGCAGCAGUAGGGAAUCUUGCGCAAUGGGCGAAAGCCUGACGCAGCCAUGCCGCGUGAAUGAUGAAGGUCUUAGGAUUGUAAAAUUCUUUCACCGGGGACGAUAAUGACGGUACCUGGAGAAGAAGCUCCGGCUAACUUCGUGCCAGCAGCCGCAGUAACAC